rfam:Brachypodium distachyon strain Bd21 chromosome 1, whole genome shotgun sequence.
UAGAUACUCCCUCCGUCCAACAAAAAGUGUCUCAAGUUUGUCAAAAUUUAAAUGUAUUUAGACAUGACUUAGUCUGUAGAUACACUCAAAUUUUGUCAAAGCUGAGUCAUCCUUUGUUGGACGGAGAAAGUACAAA